AUGGAAGGGCCAUCGCUCAACGGAUAAAAGCUACCCCGGGGAUAACAGGCUUAUCUCCCCCAAGAGUCCACAUCGACGGGGAGGUUUGGCACCUCGAUGUCGGCUCAUCGCAUCCUGGGGCUGUAGUCGGUCCCAAGGGUUGGGCUGUUCGCCCAUUAAAGCGGUACGCGAGCUGGGUUCAGAACGUCGUGAGACAGUUCGGUCCCUAUCCGUCGCGGGCGCAGGAAAUUUGAGAGGAGCUGUCCUUAGUACGAGAGGACCGGGAUGGACGCACCGCUGGUGUACCAGUUGUUCUGCCAAGGGCAUCGCUGGGUAGCUAUGUGCGGACGGGAUAAGUGCUGAAAGCAUCUAAGCAUGAAGCCCCCCUCAAGAUGAGAUUUCCCAUUCCGCAAGGAAGUAAGAUCCCUGAAAGAUGAUCAGGUUGAUAGGUCUGAGGUGGAAGCGUGGUGACACGUGGAGCUGACAGAUACUAAUAGAUCGAGGACUUAACCUA
rnacentral:rRNA from 1 species